CCUCUUUUGUUAGGGAGCAAGGCACUUUGUGUUGAGUGUACCUUUCGAAUAAGCACCGGCUAACUACGUGCCAGCAGCCGCGGUAAUACGUAGGGUGCAAGCGUUAUCCGGAAUUAUUGGGCGUAAAGGGCUCGUAGGCGGUUCGUCGCGUCCGGUGUGAAAGUCCAUCGCUUAACGGUGGAUCCGCGCCGGGUACGGGCGGGCUUGAGUGCGGUAGGGGAGACUGGAAUUCCCGGUGUAACGGUGGAAUGUGUAGAUAUCGGGAAGAACACCAAUGGCGAAGGCAGGUCUCUGGGCCGUUACUGACGCUGAGGAGCGAAAGCGUGGGGAGCGAACAGGAUUAGAUACCCUGGUAGUCCACGCCGUAAACGGUGGAUGCUGGAUGUGGGGCCCGUUCCACGGGUUCCGUGUCGGAGCUAACGCGUUAAGCAUCCCGCCUGGGGAGUACGGCCGCAAGGCUAAAACUCAAAGAAAUUGACGGGGGCCCGCACAAGCGGCGGAGCAUGCGGAUUAAUUCGAUGCAACGCGAAGAACCUUACCUGGGCUUGACAUGUUCCCGACGAUCCCAGAGAUGGGGUUUCCCUUCGGGGCGGGUUCACAGGUGGUGCAUGGUCGUCGUCAGCUCGUGUCGUGAGAUGUUGGGUUAAGUCCCGCAACGAGCGCAACCCUCGCCCCGUGUUGCCAGCGGAUUAU
rnacentral:rRNA from 1 species